GAUCCUGGCUCAGAUUGAACGCUGGCGGCAUGCUUUACACAUGCAAGUCGAACGGUAACAGGUUAAGCUGACGAGUGGCGAACGGGUGAGUAAUGCAUCGGAACGUGCCCGGUCGUGGGGGAUAACACAGCGAAAGCUGCGCUAAUACCGCAUACGACCUACGGGUGAAAGAGGGGGAUCGCAAGACCUCUCGUUAUUGGAGCGGCCGAUGUCAGAUUAGGUAGUUGGUGGGGUAAAGGCCUACCAAGCCAACGAUCUGUAGCUGGUCUGAGAGGACGACCAGCCACACUGGGACUGAGACACGGCCCAGACUCCUACGGGAGGCAGCAGUGUGGAAUUUUGGACAAUGGGCGCAAGCCUGAUCCAGCCAUGCCGCGUGCGGGAAGAAGGCCUUCGGGUUGUAAACCGCUUUUGUCAGGGAAGAAAUCUUCUGGGUUAAUACCUCGGGAGGAUGACGGUACCUGAAGAAUAAGCACCGGCUAACUACGUG
rnacentral:rRNA from 1 species